GAAAGAACAUGUUAGCCGCCACCACACAGAAGAGCAGCAGCGAGGAGAGCGGCGAGAAGGCGGCGCUGGUGAAGGUGAGCAUGGACGGUGCGCCUUACCUCCGUAAGGUGGACUUGAGGAUGUACACAAGUUACCACCAACUCUCCGAUGCUUUAGCCAAAAUGUUCAGUUCUUUUACUAUCGGUUAGUAAAUAUACGAAUUUUGGGAUAAAGUGUUAAUUUAUUGGUAUGGUAGUGAUGGAUUAAUUAUUUUUGAUGAAAAAUGAAGGAAAUUGUGGAUCUCAAGGAAUUAAGGAUUUCAUGAAUGAGAGUAAGCUGAUGGAUCUCCUUAAUGGCUCUGAUUAUGUUCCUACCUAUGAGGACAAGGAUG
rnacentral:lncRNA from 1 species